UAUUACGUUCUCUUUUUAUUUUUUCAAUUUUCAUGAAUUUAUUUAAGUUUUUUGUUAAAUUUCUCUUUUGUAUUUUUACUUAUAUUUAAAUUUAAUUUAAUAAAUAUUUUUAUUGAAUUCCUUCUUUGCAUUACAACUAUCUUAUUAUCUUGAUAAAUUGGUAAUUCUAGUAAUAAUUUUUUUUUUCCAAUAAGUAGAUCUUUAGAGAAUUCCAAUCUGACAAGUAACACAUAAUUAAUAUACGUGUUAUGUUAUAUUUCAAUUUUUCGCGCGAUUUUUGAAUGAAAAAAAUAAGCAUCAUGAGCCAGCCAAUCAGAACGUCGCUUUAUUCAAGUAGUCGCGGGACUCAUUGCGCAUCGUAGUGCGCAUUACACUGCGCAUUACACUGCGCAUGUCGUCAGUCUACAGUUGAAAAUUGUGUGGAGUGGACGUGUCGUCGCGAAUUGUGAUUAUCGCAGUUUAAUUGGUAGCGUUAUGGUAAUAUUCUCGAAGGCGGGAAAAAUUCCAAUAUGGACGCCAUUGGUGACUUUUUUUCGUGGUAAAAUUUUACAUUUCUUUGUUUCAGAAAUCUCCUUCAGCUUUCAACAAUGGAUUAUGUGGAAUGGAUUACAUCUUAUCAUCAGAUAAAUAUUCUAAUUUUUUAUAUUAGUUUGUUUCAGGAUUUCUUACAGGAACAGAAGAUUGUAUAAUUGAUUAAAAAAAAGUGUAUUUAAAAUUAAGUGCAUGCAGAAUCAAGGGUAUUAAAUAAAGUUAUGUAUUGUAGAAAAGUAGAUACUGUAGAUAAAUAGGUGGAUAACAUACAUUUAGGAAAGGAGAAUUUAUUUACGAAUAAAAUAAUUUGGGAAAUUUAUAAA